rnacentral:lncRNA from 1 species
UUAUUCAGCUUAAAGAAAUGGUAUCGUGGAGAACCGAGUUCGGGUUUCAAGUAUCCGGAUUUGGGGUCGCCACAAAUCCUAACUAUACCUAAUAUGAAAAAUAAUCUAUUAGACUAUUACUAUUAUAGUAUUAACCUUAACCAAUGCAUCAAGUGAUCGAACCAACGAAUUUGGCCUCUCAGCUAUAAGCCCCUCCAAUAAGCAUCAAAAAAAUUCGAAAUUUCAAAACACAAUUGCUUAAUUUUUGAUUCUAUAAUCUCUAACAAUCUUCUUUUAAUUGGUGAAAAAAUGACAAUGCAAGAUUGGAGUUUUCUCUGAGCGUGUUCAAGUAAAAAAUAAAUUUAGAAUUUACUAGAGAUAAUAUACACAUACACACAGUGCGGUUUUAGUUUUAUACGUGCGGUUUUGGCUAGUAACCAAAUUGGAACCGUAAAUUUGGUUAUUUAAUCCAUCUAAAACCGUCACAUACAUCUAAAUCGUUGAUGUAAUUUUAAUUAAUGUGGAUGGUAUAAUUUUUAGUAUAAUUUUGAUUCCAAUUUAAUUACUUGGCCCUUAAUUCUGUUGGUAUCUGCUUUUUGGUAUUCUAUGAGUACGAAUUUAGCAAAGUACCAAUAAAUGCAGUACAUACAUAAAGCAUAUUUAAUUUAAACGCCCAUACUGGAGAAUGUUCCUGAAACUAGUACUACUAAUCUAGUAUAUUUUAUUAUAUAAA